rnacentral:rRNA from 1 species
CACUAUCGUUAACUGAAUACAUAGGUUAACGAGGCGAACCGGGGGAACUGAAACAUCUAAGUACCCCGAGGAAAAGAAAUCAACCGAGAUUCCCCCAGUAGCGGCGAGCGAACGGGGAGCAGCCCAGAGUCUGAAUCAGCUUGUGUGUUAGUGGAACGGUCUGGAAAGUCCGACGGUACAGGGUGAUAGUCCCGUACACCAAAAUGCACAGGUUGUGAACUCGAAGAGUAGGGCGGGACACGUGGUAUCCUGUCUGAAUAUGGGGGGACCAUCCUCCAAGGCUAAAUACUCCUGACUGACCGAUAGUGAACCAGUACCGUGAGGGAAAGGCGAAAAGAACCCCGGCGAGGGGAGUGAAAAAGAACCUGAAACCGUGUACGUACAAGCAGUGGGAGCACCUUUAUGGUGUGACUGCGUACCUUUUGUAUAAUGGGUCAGCGACUUAUAUUCUGUAGCAAGGUUAACCGUAUAGGGGAGCCGCAGGGAAACCGAGUCUUAACUGGGCGUUAAGUUGCAGGGUAUAGACCCGAAACCCGGUGAUCUAGCCAUGGGCAGGUUGAAGGUUGGGUAACACUAACUGGAGGACCGAACCGACUAAUGUUGAAAAAUUAGCGGAUGACUUGUGGCUGGGGGUGAAAGGCCAAUCAAACCGGGAGAUAGCUGGUUCUCCCCGAAAGCUAUUUAGGUAGCGCCUCGUGAACUCAUCUUCGGGGGUAGAGCACUGUUUCGGCUAGGGGGUCAUCCCGACUUACCAACCCGAUGCAAACUACGAAUACCGAAGAAUGUUAUCACGGGAGACACACGGCGGGUGCUAACGUCCGUCGUGAAGAGGGAAACAACCCAGACCGCCAGCUAAGGUCCCAAAGUCAUGGUUAAGUGGGAAACGAUGUGGGAAGGCACAGACAGCCAGGAUGUUGGCUUAGAAGCAGCCAUCAUUUAAAGAAAGCGUAAUAGCUCACUGGUCGAGUCGGCCUGCGCGGAAGAUGUAACGGGGCUAAACCAUGCACCGAAGCUGCGGCAGCGACACUAUGUGUUGUUGGGUAGGGGAGCGUUCUGUAAGCCUGCGAAGGUGACCUGUGAGGGUUGCUGGAGGUAUCAGAAGUGCGAAUGCUGACAUAAGUAACGAUAAAGCGGGUGAAAAGCCCGCUCGCCGGAAGACCAAGGGUUCCUGUCCAACGUUAAUCGGGGCAGGGUGAGUCGACCCCUAAGGCGAGGCCGAAAGGCGUAGUCGAUGGGAAACAGGUUAAUAUUCCUGUACUUGGUGUUACUGCGAAGGGGGGACGGAGAAGGCUAUGUUAGCCGGGCGACGGUUGUCCCGGUUUAAGCAUGUAGGCUGGUUAUCCAGGCAAAUCCGGAUAAUCAAGGCUGAGGUGUGAUGACGAGGCACUACGGUGCUGAAGUAACAAAUGCCCUGCUUCCAGGAAAAGCCUCUAAGCAUCAGGUAACAUCAAAUCGUACCCCAAACCGACACAGGUGGUCAGGUAGAGAAUACCAAGGCGCUUGAGAGAACUCGGGUGAAGGAACUAGGCAAAAUGGUGCCGUAACUUCGGGAGAAGGCACGCUGGUGUGUAGGUGAAGUCCCUGCGGAUGGAGCUGAGACCAGUCGAAGAUACCAGCUGGCUGCAACUGUUUAUUAAAAACACAGCACUGUGCAAACACGAAAGUGGACGUAUACGGUGUGACGCCUGCCCGGUGCCGGAAGGUUAAUUGAUGGGGUUAUCCGUAAGGAGAAGCUCUUGAUCGAAGCCCCGGUAAACGGCGGCCGUAACUAUAACGGUCCUAAGGUAGCGAAAUUCCUUGUCGGGUAAGUUCCGACCUGCACGAAUGGCGUAAUGAUGGCCAGGCUGUCUCCACCCGAGACUCAGUGAAAUUGAACUCGCUGUGAAGAUGCAGUGUACCCGCGGCAAGACGGAAAGACCCCGUGAACCUUUACUAUAGCUUGACACUGAACAUUGAGCCUUGAUGUGUAGGAUAGGUGGGAGGCUUUGAAGCGUGGACGCCAGUCUGCGUGGAGCCAACCUUGAAAUACCACCCUUUAAUGUUUGAUGUUCUAACGUUGGCCCCUUAUCGGGGUUGCGGACAGUGUCUGGUGGGUAGUUUGACUGGGGCGGUCUCCUCCCAAAGCGUAACGGAGGAGCACGAAGGUUAGCUAAUCCUGGUCGGACAUCAGGAGGUUAGUGCAAUGGCAUAAGCUAGCUUGACUGCGAGCGUGACGGCGCGAGCAGGUGCGAAAGCAGGUCAUAGUGAUCCGGUGGUUCUGAAUGGAAGGGCCAUCGCUCAACGGAUAAAAGGUACUCCGGGGAUAACAGGCUGAUACCGCCCAAGAGUUCAUAUCGACGGCGGUGUUUGGCACCUCGAUGUCGGCUCAUCACAUCCUGGGGCUGAAGUAGGUCCCAAGGGUAUGGCUGUUCGCCAUUUAAAGUGGUACGCGAGCUGGGUUUAGAACGUCGUGAGACAGUUCGGUCCCUAUCUGCCGUGGGCGCUGGAGAAUUGAGGGGGGCUGCUCCUAGUACGAGAGGACCGGAGUGGACGCAUCACUGGUGUUCGGGUUGUCAUGCCAAUGGCACUGCCCGGUAGCUAAAUGCGGAAGAGAUAAGUGCUGAAAGCAUCUAAGCACGAAACUUGCCCCGAGAUGAGUUCUCCCUGAGACUUUAAGUCUCCUGAAGGAACGUUGAAGACGACGACGUUGAUAGGCCGGGUGUGUAAGCGCAGCGAUGCGUUGAGCUAACCGGUACUAAUGAACCGUGAGGCUUAACCUU